UGAACCUACCCUGCAAAUCAGCCCCAUCGUUUCCCUGUUUACAUCUUCUUCUUCUUUCACAUCGCAAACCACCAUCUCCGGUGAACCACAACCACCGCCGCCACUGCUUCAGUCAGAAAACACUUUCUACUUUUGUAAAGGCACCUGUAUUAGAUGUUGUUGCAGGGGAUAUAAUAUUUGGCCAUCCAGAGAUUCUCAAUCUCAAAAGUGAAAGGCAACAACAUUUCUCAUAGAUGUAUUAUCUUUCGGUAGUUGUUAAUGGUGAGAUGCUGAAGGGAUGUAAGGCGUUGGAGUCCCACCGAAAGUGAUUCCAGUUUAUCAAAUUUCAAGUCGAAGCUCUGUAAGAGUGGAAGGAAGAAGAAGGGACAAUUGACUAAAAUACUGAGAUGUUCGCAACAUUAAGUCAGGUGAACAAGGGAAGUUGGAAAAUUUUAAGGGCUCCACUCUGACAAAGGCUUAUUCAACCCCCCUAUUGAUUCGAAACACAAAUUGGGAGGCCAGUGCCCCCAAGGAAAGAAAUCAUCUGUUCUUGGGACAAUUUUUUAUUUUUCAAAUAAUUUAACAAGGUGAGCUUUGUCUGAAUGGCUGGAAAAGAAAUCAUCAUACAGAGUUAUACACAAUUUGCUGAGGCAUGAGCACCAACUUAGUGAGACGAAUGCUACUAGUGAGAAACUUGUGAAUAAACAUAUAAUGAGCUAAAAAGUUCAAGAUGGUGCUGCAGAAUAUAAAGCGUGCGUCAUGGUCCUUUUUACGUUGAGCUCGAAAACGCAGCAGUAUGGUCCUUUUCAAAUUAUUGUUUUGUGCUGCUCAUUGUCUUGUAAUUGUUCUUGUAACUCUUUGUAAUAUGAUAUGGUUAUAUAAUAAUAAGAUUUUAUGAUUUUGU
rnacentral:lncRNA from 1 species